rnacentral:lncRNA from 1 species
CCCCCGUGUGCCAAAAAUAGGCCACGGGCACAGCCGCGCCCAAAAAUCAGCCCCCGAAGGUCGGGGUCCCAAGACCCCCCAGCGGAAAAAUGGCCAAAAAAAGGGUGGGCUAUAGCCUUGGUGGGGGGCGUGGGCGAAGUUCGUCCGCGGGACUCGGAAUGGCACCAUACUUGGCGGGCGGCCUCCGUGUGCCAAAAACAGGCCACGGGCGCAGCCGCGUCCAAAAAUCAGCCCCCGAAGGUCGGGGUCCCAAGACCCCCCAGCGGAAAAAUGGCCAAAAAACGGGUGGGCUAUAGCCUUGGUGGGGGGCGUGGGCGAACUUCGUCCGCGGGACUCGGAAUGGUACCAUACCUGGCGGGUGGCCUCCGUGUGCCAAAAACAGGCCACGGGCACAGCUCCGCCGAAAAAUCAGCCCCCGAAGGUUGGGGUCCCAAGACCCCCCGGCGUAAAAAUGGCCAAAAAAACGGUGGGCUAUAGCCUUGGUGGGGGGCGUGGACGAAGUUCGUCCGCGGGACUCGGAAUGGCCCCAGACUUGGCGGGCGGCCUCCGUGUGCCAAAAAUAGGCCACGGGCACAGCCGCGCCCAAAAAUCAGCCCCCGAAGGUCGGGGUCCCAAGACCCCCCAGCGGAAAAAUGGCCAAAAAACGGGUGGGCUAUAGCCUUGGUGGGGGGAGUGGGCGAAGUUCGUCCGCGGGACUCGCAAUGGCACCAUACUUGGCGGGCGACCUCCGUGUGCCAAAAAUAGGCCACGGGCGCCGCCGCGCCCAAAAAUCAGCCGCCGAAGGUCGGGGUCCCAAGACCCCCCAGCGGAAAAAUGGCCAAAAACCGGGUGGGCUAUAGCCUUGGUGGGAGGCGUGGGCGAAGUUCGUCCGUGGUACUCGGAAUGGCACCAGACUUGGCGGGCGGCCUCCGUGUGCCAAAAAUAGGCCACGGGCACGGCCGCGCCCAAAAAUCAGCCCCCGAAGGUCGGGGUCCCAAGACCCCCCAGCGGAAAAAUAUCCAAAAAACGGGUGGGCUAUAGCCUUGGUGGGCGGCGUGGGCGAAGUUCGUCCGCGGGACUCAGAAUGGCCCCAGACUUGGCGGGCGGCCCCCGUGUGCCAAAAAUAGGCCACGGGCACAGCCGCGCCCAAAAAUCAGCCCCCGAAGGUCGGGGUCCCAAGACCCCCCAGCGGAAAAAUGGCCAAAAAAAGGGUGGGCUAUAGCCUUGGUGGGGGGCGUGGGCGAAGUUCGUCCGCGGGACUCGGAAUGGCACCAUACUUGGCGGGCGGCCUCCGUGUGCCAAAAACAGGCCACGGGCGCAGCCGCGCCCAAAAAUCAGCCCCCGAAGGUCGGGGUCCCAAGACCCCCCAGCGGAAAAAUGGCCAAAAAACGGGUGGGCUAUAGCCUUGGUGGGGGGCGUGGGCGAAGUUCGUCCGCCGGACUCGGAAUGGCACCAUACUUGGCGGGCGGCCUCCGUGUGCCAAAAAUAGGCCACGGGUGCAGCCGCGCCCAAAAAUCAGCCCCCGAAGGUCGGGGUCCCAAGAGCCCCCGAAGGUCGGGGUCCCAGGAGCCCCCAGCGGAAAAUUGGCCAAAAAACGGGUGGGCUAUAGCCUUGGUGGGGGGCGUGGGCGAAGUUCGUCCGCGGGACUCAGAAUGGCCCCAGACUUGGCGGGCGGCCCCCGUGUGCCAAAAAUAGGCCACGGGCACAGCCGCGCCCAAAAAUCAGCCCCCGAAGGUCGGGGUCCCAAGACCCCCCAGCGGAAAAAUGGCCAAAAAACGUGUGGGCUAUAGCCUUGGUGGGGGUCGUGGGCGAAGUUCGUCCGCGGGACUCGGAAUGGCCCCAGACUUGGCGGGCGGCCUCCCUGUCCUAAAAAUAGGCCACGGGCACAGCCGCGCCCAAAAAUCAGCCCCCGAAGGUCGGGGUCCCAAGACCCCCCAGCGGAAAAAUAACCAAAAAACGGGUGGGCUAUAGCCUUGGUGGGCGGCGUGGGCGAAGUUCGGGCGCGGGACUCAGAAUGGCCCCAGACUUGGCGGGCGGCCUCCGUGUGCAAAAAAUAGGCCACGGGCACAGCCGCGCCCAAAAAUCAGCCCCCGAAGGUCGGGGUCCCAAGACCCCCCAGCGGAAAAUUGGCCAAAAAACGGGUGGGCUAUAGCCUUGGUGGGGGGCGUGGGCGAAGUUCGUCCGCCGGACUCGGAAUGGCACCAUACUUGGCGGGCGGCCUCCGUGUGCCAAAAACAGGCCACGGGCGCAGCCGCACCCAAAAAUCAGCCCCCGAAGGUCGGGGUCCCAAGACCCCCCAGCAGAAAAAUGGCCAAAAAACGGGUGGGCUAUAGCCUUGGUGGGGGGAGUGGGCGAAGUUCGUCCGCGGGACUCGCAAUGGCACCAUACUGGGCGGACGACUUCCGUGUGCCAAAAUAGGCCACGGGCGCAGCCGCGCCCAAAAAUCAGCCCCCGAAGGUCGAGGUCCCAAGACCCCCCAGCGGAAAAAUGGCCAAAAAACGGGUGGGCUAUAGCCUUGGUGGGGGGCGUGGGCGAAGUUCGUCCGCGGGACUCGAAAUGGCACCAGACUUGGCGGGCGGCCUCCGUGUGCCAAAAAUAGGCCACGGGCACAGCCGCGCCCAAAAAUCAGCCCCCGAAGGUCGGGGUCCCAAGACCCCCCAGCGGAAAAAUAACCAAAAACCGGGUGGGCUAUAGCCUUGGUGGGCGGCGUGGGCGAAGUUCAGGCGCGGGACUCAGAAUGGCCCCAGACUUGGCGGGCGGCCUCCGUGUGCAAAAAAUAGGCCACGGGCACAGCCGCGCCCAGAAAUCAGCCCCCGAAGGUCGGGGUCCCAAGACCCCCCAGCAGAAAAAUGGCCAAAAAACGGGUGGGCUAUAGCCUUGGUGGGGGGAGUGGGCGAAGUUCGUCCGCGGGACUCGCAAUGGCACCAUACUUGGCGGACGACCUCCGUGUGCCAAAAAUAGGCCACGGGCGCAGCCGCGCCCAAAAAUCAGCCCCCGAAGGUCGGGGUCCCAAGACCCCCCAGCGGAAAAAUGGCCAAAAAACGGGUGGGCUAUAGCCUUGGUGGGGGGCGUGGGCGAAGUUCGUCCGCGGGACUCAGAAUGGCCCCAGACUUGGCGGGCGGCCUCCGUGUGCAAAAAAUAGGCCACGGGCACAGCCGCGCCCAAAAAUCAGCCCCCGAAGGUCGGGGUCCCAAGACCCCCCAGCGGAAAAUUGGCCAAAAAACGGAAGGGGUAUAGCCUUGGUGGGGGGCGGGGCGAAGUUCGUCCGCCGGACU